GCCCCCAUAGUAAAAAGGAUAUUACAAACCCCUCCUAAGGGUUAGUUGCAGGUUCGAUUCCUACUGGGGGUGCCA
rnacentral:tRNA from 1 species